rnacentral:rRNA from 1 species
GACGAACGCUGGCGGCGUGCUUAACACAUGCAAGUCGAGUGCGUAGCCCUUUGUAGCAAUACAGAGGGUGGGCGCACGGCGCACGGGUGAGUAACACGUGGGUAACCUGCCCUUCGGUGGGGAAUAACCCGCGAAAGCGGGGCGUAAUUCCGCAUAACAUUCCGGGGACACAUGUUCUCGGACUCAAAGGAGUGAUUCGCCGGAGGAGGGGCCCGCGCCCGAUUAGCUUGUUGGUAGGGUAACGGCCUACCAAGGCUUUGAUCGGUAGCCGGUCUGAGAGGAUGGCCGGCCACACUGGAACUGAGACACGGUCCAGACUCCUACGGGAGGCAGCAGUGGGGAAUCUUGCGCAAUGGGCGAAAGCCUGACGCAGCGACGCCGCGUGGGGGACGAAGGCCUUCGGGUU